rnacentral:lncRNA from 1 species
UAACGAGGGAAGAUGUGACCUCAAGGAGAAGUGGUUUGGGACUCAGUACAGCAUAGAAGAUAUUGAAAACUCUUGGACUGAACUGUGGAAGAGCAAUUUUGACUUAAAUUCAGACCUUCAUCUACCAGCUGAAAACAAAUACAUAGCCACGGACUUUACAUUGAAGGCUUUUGAUUGCCCUGAAACUGAAUACCCUGCUAAAAUUGUGAAUACCCCACAAGGUUGCCUGUGGUAUAAGAAAGACAACAAAUUCAAAAUCCCCAAAGCCUAUAUACGAUUUCAUCUGAUCUCACCUUUGAUACAGAAAUCUGCAGCAAAGUGAGUGUUUGGUUCUUGUUUGUUUGAUUUUUUUCCUC